rnacentral:rRNA from 1 species
AAUAGAUACCCUGGUAGUCCUAGCCGUAAACGAUGAACACUAGGCGUAGUCGGUAUCGACCCCGGCUGUGCCGUAGCUAACGCAUUAAGUGUUCCGCCUGGGGAGUACGGCCGCAAGGCUAAAAACUCAAAGGAAUUGACGGGGGGUCCCGCACAAGCAGCGGAGCGUGUGGUUUAAUUCGUCGCAACGCGAAGAACCUUACCAGGGCUUGACAUGUGGCGGAAAACGGCGGAAACGUCGUCCUCCCGCAAGGGACCGUCAUGCAGGUGUUGCAUGGCUGUCGUCAGCUCGUGUCGUGAGAUGUUGGGUUAAGCCCCGCAACGAGCGCAACCCCCGUGGCAUGUUGUACCUCUCAUGCCAGACUGCCGAGAGAAACUCGGAGGAAGGUGGGGAUGACGCCAAGUCAGCAUGGCCCUUACGUCCUGGGCUACACACACGCUACAAUGGCCGGUACAACGGGUUGCCAAACCGCGAGGUGGAGCUAAUCCCUUAAAGCCGGUCUCAGUUCGGAUUGCAGGCUGCAACUCGCCUGCA